rnacentral:rRNA from 1 species
UUUAAAGGGUCCGUAGGCGGGUUCGUAAGUCAGUGGUGAAAUCCUACAGCUUAACUGUAGAACUGCCAUUGAUACUGCGAGUCUUGAGUGUAGUUGAGGUAGCUGGAAUGAGUAGUGUAGCGGUGAAAUGCAUAGAUAUUACUCAGAACACCAAUUGCGAAGGCAGGUUACCAAGUUACAACUGACGCUGAUGGACGAAAGCGUGGGGAGCGAACAGGAUUAGAUACCCUGGUAGUCCACGCUGUAAACGAUGCUAACUCGUUUUUGGAUUUUCGGAUUCAGAGACCAAGCGAAAGUGAUAAGUUAGCCACCUGGGGAGUACGUUCGCAAGAAUGAAACUCAAAGGAAUUGACGGGGGCCCGCACAAGCGGUGGAUUAUGUGGUUUAAUUCGAUGAUACGCGAGGAACCUUACCAAGACUUAAAUGGGAGUGGACAGGCUUAGAAAUAGGCUUUUCUUCGGACCACUUUCAAGGUGCUGCAUGGUUGUCGUCAGCUCGUGCCGUGAGGUGUUAGGUUAAGUCCUGCAACGAGCGCAACCCCUGUCACUAGUUGCUAACAUUAAGUUGAGGACUCUAGUGAGACUGCCUACGCAAGUAGAGAGGAAGGUGGGGAUGACGUCAAAUCAUCACGGCCCUUACGUCUUGGGCCACACACGUAAUACAAUGGCCGGUACAGAGGGCAGCUACACAGCGAUGUGAUGCGAAUCUCGAAAGCCGGUCUCAGUUCGGAUUGGAGUCUGCAACUCGACUCUAUGAAGCUGGAAUCGCUAGUAAUCGCGCAU